UCCACGAACUACGCAUUUCUGA
rnacentral:miRNA from 1 species